UAUAGGCUAAUUAAGAGCAUAUGGGGGAUUCCUAGGCUCUCAGAGGCGAUGAAGGACGUGAUAAGCUGCGAUAAGCUACGGUUAGUGGCACAUACACUUUAACCCGUAGAUUUCCGAAUGGGGAAACCUAAUAGAUUGAAGAUCUAUUGCACCGAAAGGUGGGCAAACCCGGAGAACUGAAACAUCUAAGUACCCGGAGGAGAAGAAAACAAUUGUGAUUCCAUUAGUAGUGGCGAGCGAAAGUGGAACAGCCCAAACUAUUUAUGUUUCGGCAUAAUAGGGUUGUAGGAGCACGCUAUUUGAUGCUUUAUGAACUAGAAUCUACUGGAAAGUAGAACCAUAGAGGGUGACAGUCCCGUAAAGGUAAAGAGAGUUAUUAAUAGUGGUAUCCUGAGUAGCGCGGGGCACGUGAAACCUUGCGUGAAUU
rnacentral:rRNA from 1 species